rnacentral:lncRNA from 1 species
CGGGAAGGCGGCCGGAGCGCCGCGACCCCCCUCUCCACACACACACACAGCCCCCCCCGCCCCGGGCCUCGGUCCCGGCCCUGCCCCGGAGGAGCUGGGCGAUGUGUCCCGGCCGCCCCGGUACCCCCCGACCCCCGUCUGCCGGCGGGCUGCCGAGAAGCCGCCUCCCGCGGGGGCGUCGGGCCGGAGCUCGGCCGCCCUGAGCCGUCGUGGGGGGGGGGGGGGGCUGAGGCGGCCCGGGCUGCCCGAGUCUCUCUGAGGUAACAAGCGGCUCCGCAAGGCCAAGGGGAAAGCCCGCGUCUCCGCUUCCCGCCCAGGCUGCCAGCGGAGCGGCAGGCAGUUGCUCCGGAGCGGGGAUCUGCCGCGGAGCGGUGACAGCGGCCAGACAAACGCGUUUGCCCGGGUGAGAGGAUUUUGUCCAAAAUCAUGGGGGUUUGGUGAUUGUGAUCCUCGCUUCCUCUGUGACGAUGUGAAAUUACAUCUUCCCAACCAUGAAGUGGUUCAGAAGAAAUUCCGGUUUCUGCAGUUUGAUGGGAUUUGUAGCGAUUAUCCCAAGAAGAUAUCCUUUGGAAGAUAGAUAUUCUUUUGGAAGACAUCCUGGAAGAAUCUACAAUGCUCUUAUAUGUCAAGAGGUAUAAAGCACGAGCAACUGCGACCAGCUGCCCUCCCAUCCUGCUCCAUGGACACCAAAAAAUGCAGAACCUGAAACUUAGCAAAUGGAUGUAUUCCAGGGAUUUGGAUGAAGAAACUGAAUCCUUCUUCACUCUCUGAGAUACUUGAACAAAAUAAUACUGUAGGAAGGUUUUGCAGCGUAGCUGGGUGAAAUGAAGUUUGAGGAAAGUAAGUGCUAAUCUCUAACUUGAAAUAAUUUUUCAGAUCUGUAACGUGUUGCUAAUUAAUUAUACACACAUUUUAUGAUAAUUGGCUAAUUCUCUUUUUAACUCUGGAUAAUGAUAGUACACAAGAAACUUUUACAGGUACUGGUCACUUGAACAAUUCAGAUUUAACCUCACUUCAGGCUGAUUUUAUUGUCCUUUGCUUCCUU